GUAAAAGUGAGUAUUAUCACUUGUGUUUAAAUUAGAAAUUUAUAUUGCUAUUAC
rnacentral:tRNA from 1 species